rnacentral:lncRNA from 1 species
ACAACUUUGGAGGUGGAACGAUCUGCUUUACGCGCAACUUGUGCCCAGUUAUCAGCUGAAAAAGAGGAGGCAAUGCAAAGUCUGGACUAUUUCAAAGAAAAUUAUGAUCGGUUGCUGAGGGACCAGAUAAAUUUAGAAAAACAACAGGAACUGCUAGUCACUAAAAAUGAUGAACUCUUGUCAAGAUGGAGACACACGCAGCGAGCGUUUAAUGCCCUUCAAACAGAAACAAGGUUUCUCAGGGAAGAAAAUUCUGCACUCAGGGAACAGAUCAACGCUCAUGAAGCCUUGGAUGAAAAAAAUGAGUCUUAGGAUUCAAGAAACUUUGCUUUUUGCAAGAAAUACUUUUACUUUGAAGGUGCCUCAAUUGUAUACGCUGUUGCUCAAGCUGAAUUGUUUUCAGAACCAUCAGCCCUGGAGAAUUGGAGAUUGGUUGGAAAGCUAGCCGAGUCUCACCACAAUGUUUUUUCUUUCUGUUUCAAUUGCUAAUAUUAGUAACUAUUACAUGCUGUGAUAUUUAUUUUAUUAUGUUUGUUAUUUAAUUUAGAUUAAAUUUAGUACUUGGAUUUAACUAAAUGUCCCUUGACAUAGAAAAAAAUAGCCUGAAAUGAAGCAGUAUGUCAACAAGAAUCCUAUUAAGUAGCCAUUGUCUGGUUAUGCUAUAAAUUUUCAACCAGUUUUCAGCUUUUGCGAAUGCACAGGAAUUUCUGUGCUGUAUAGUAACCACUAAGUUCACUCGCAGAAUUGUCACUCUGAAGAAACAUAGAGAAAAUAUGGAACCGCAGACUAGAGGGAAACAAGGGGCUAAUAGGGAUAUACUGAGCAAGAGACCACUAACUCCCUAUUAACAGUGUCUUCUAGUUUAAUUCAAUGGACCUGAAACAUAUUACUCCUCUUAUUUUCCCUCGUAAGUUUUGCUGGAAACAGGGAAAUUUUAUACAACCAUUUCCAAGAUAUUAACUUAUAAUAAUAGGGAAAAUCAUGGGAAUUUGCCAUUAAAUGCCUAUACUCAUCAAACUGAAUAUUCUUUUGAGGAGUUUGAACCUUUGACUGGCCUAUCCCUUGUUCUCUCCUCUAGCCUCUUAUUUGCUACUUUCUCUCAACAAGUUUCAAUUCUUAAUGCCAUUUUAACAAUUUAUGUGGUCCUUAAUAUCACUUAUUCUUCUUUUUAUAUCUGAUCCUUUGCUCCCUCUAAAAAAUAGAUAGUCAAAGUGUGAAAUCUUGUAUCGCCAUUGUGAUGUUUCAAAAUUUCCAUUGUUUCAUUUUUUGAACAGAAACAAGCCAAUUGUAUAGAUUGACAUAUAUACAGAAUAUAUAUAUUUUUCUUACAGCAGAAAACUCAAGGAAAUUUUCCAUAAAUUACAUUGACAAGUUUUCCAAAGAAAAAAAUAAGUAUGACAGGAAGUGUGCUAUAUCACAAAUGGAGAUAGGUGUUCUUGCACUUUGGCCAUCAAUAUAAAUAUUUUUUAGCUCAUUAUCAAGAGGCAGUCCCCAAAGUACGCUUGAAUUACACCAAGUGAUUUUUUUAAAUACUUCACAAUUACAAAUAUCUUGAAAAUGGCACCUUAAAUCUCCAAGCACUCAGCAGAACUUUAGUGCUGGAGGUCUGUUUGAAAGGCAGACCUUUCCUAUAUGAGUCCUGUGGUUUUUUUAAUGAACUAAGGUGGUUUCACUUCAGUCAAGUAAAAAUAAAAAUGAACUAAUAGAAAUAAAAGUUUCCAAACUUGGCGGUAGUGUUAUUUGUUUGAGGUCAAUGCUUACACCUCAAAAACAUACAAUCGUACUGUGGACAUCUCUGUCAAUGUGUAACGAUAUAGCUUUGUACUUAGCACUGAUGGAUGCAGCAAUCGUUGCUUGUAUUGUAUUUAGAGUCACUGAAGCGUCACCAAUCCUAUAGCCUUGUCCCUGCUAGCGUCGUUUGCUGAAUUUCGGGUGAAGUUGUUCCAGGAACUUAUUAUAACUUAGCUUCAACUUGUUCACAGAAUUAAUUCGCUCAAAUUGCGCUUGUGUGGACAAGGCCUAUGUUCUGAAAGUUACCAAGACCUUAUAGGUUCGCCAAGUUACCCUAUGAUCCAAUCUAAGAUCAAGCCAGCCCUUAAUACACCUAAAGUUAAGGUCAUUAUCAAAAUUUUGUUGUGAUGUUUUUGGUUUUCUGCUUUCAUCUUAUUCUUUCAAUUUAUGAAUUAGUAGCUGAGGAUUUUAUUUCCCUUUUCAAAAUAUCUAUAGCACUUACUCCUUUUUUUUUACAUCAAUUUGAGGUGGUUGUUUUCAAUGGUCUUUUUUUUUAUUGUUUUUAUCUGCAUCAUAUUUGAUGGUAUUGUGGUAUAUUUAUCCUGCCUCUCUGAUUACUGCCAAUCUUUGUCGAAAAUUUAAAUUUUAAAAUUCGUCCUGGAUAGAUCCACUCCUCUGUAAAAAUUACUAUUAUACUUUUUCUCUUAUUCAUGUUUUCAUAUCUUCCUCUUCUUUCAGUUCAACCGAAUUUAAUGCAGAGUUCGCGCUUUUUUGGCAUCACUAUUUUCAUACAUUCUUCAUUUGUAAUGUUAAAGUUAAUGUUUAUAUGGCAGAAGAGUUUCUUCAUUUAGUCUCUGAUCUUGUUUAGUUUUUAAUUUCUAAUUUUCUUAAAGAAAUAGUACCAUUUACAAGAAUAUUACGUUUAUGUUCUAUCAAAAAUAUUACCCAAUUUUUUUUUAAAUUUUUUCUUUUUUUUUUGUCGUAUGUAUCUUAGUUGCCAAACUGUGGUAAGCAAACAGUUUUAAAUGUAGAAUUUGAAGGGCUCAAACCGAAGAUAUUUAUCUGAUAGGAGCCUCAUAAAGUAGAGGUAACGUUAAGAAGCAGUUCAUUUGAAUGGUAAAUCAAAGAAAUCAAACUUUGAAACCACUUGCCAGUAGUGAGAGCAAAAUUCAAUUGAAGUCGGCCAUGAAUUUCUAAUUUGAAGAAUUGGAAAAUUUUUAGAUUUUCAUGAUACAAAAGCACUGUUUUUACAUAUUUUGAGAUUAUCAAUUAGGUGUACAAUAUUGAGUCCUGUGUAUUAUCAGUCAAAAUUAUUGAUUUCGCCCUGAGUAUUCGUUCGAUGAGCUCUUCAUUUUCUCUUUUACUAUCCUUUGCUAUCUUUGUCGAACAGAAAACAUCGUAAAUGAAAAAUGAGAAAAGCAAUUUCUUAAGCAAACCUUGAAGGUGUAUCAAUUUGAGCAAAAAGGCUUUUUUUGUUCGUUCCUGAUUUAUUUAAAAUAGGAACAUUUCAAAACCAUCAUCUUCUGAGUUCUGCAGAGAUUUCAUCAGUUGAUACGCUUUGGGUUAGACUUUUUAUUUUUAUCAACCCUCAUUUAGUUUUUUUUCUAGUUUCUAUAUUUUGUUUUUUGUAAAAUAUGCAAGCAGUUAUUAAUAUAUUUCAUUGAUAGUUUGUACUACAUUCUCUUUUUACUCUAUUUAUUCACGGCCAAACUCUGAGAACAAGUAUCUCAAGUACAGCAUUUAAAAAUCUCUGCCCAUGCUGAAUUUUCUCAAAAUUUCCAAACCAUACGGAAUUUUCAUGAAAUGAAUUCUUCCUAUUUUGAAGAAGAGUCACCAAAGGUUUUAAAAAAUGAUGUCGGUAGUUAUUCUUCCUAAAACUUUAAUCAUAACCGAGACUUUGCAAUGUUGUGAACUGUGGGACAUGUUGUCAAAUUUUAGCUUUUGCUUCUCUUCUUCCCUCCUGAUCCCCGAGAAAGAACCCGAGUAAUGGUAUGAAAAGAAAAACAAACAAACAACUAACUAGUACAAACUUGCAUGCCUGUUGAUGGAGUUAGGGCAAUAUCACUUGCUCAUCUAACUUCAAUCUUUAGGUUCGGUAGCUAGACUCUUAUGUUCUUAAAGAACUAAGCUCCUCUGAGUGGCAACAGCCCAGAAUCGUUUGCCUCAGUUCCAUUUGCAAUGAUGUAUACAUAGAAAUGUGUAAAGCCCUGGAUAGACAUCAAAUGCCCGAACCAAUUCCGAUCAAAGUAGCAUCAAAGUGUCGGGAGUCAUCAGUCUUAAACUCAUUAAUUUGCUUCAUUUUAAAAUGAAAACUUGGCAGAAAUGUUUCCUGUGGCAGGAAAUGAUGAAUGGUGGCACUCCGUUCUGAUCUUACUUUGAACAAAAGUGCAGCCCGUCAAAAUUUGAUGGUAGACGGUGACCACCAGUCAUCAGCAUGUCUACUUUGAUCGGAAUUGGUUCGGAAAUUGAUCGUCUAUCCAGGCUUUAAGUUUUUAGUAGGUGCUGUUCUUUUGGAAAUGGCUUAGUUUAUCAGCUAUUUCUCUUGAGCAUAACUUGCGUAGCAUAAUUUUUUAAAAGGAAAUUUUCGUACUUAAUUAUGAGGACUGCUCAGUGAGCAUGAAUGAUAAUCUGUGACCGUACCUA